UACGGAGGGUGCAAGCGUUAUCCGGAUUUACUGGGUUUAAAGGGUGCGUAGGUGGUUCUGUAAGUCAGUGGUGAAAUCUCCGGGCUUAACCCGGAAACUGCCAUUGAUACUAUAGAUCUUGAAUAUCCUGGAGGUGAGCGGAAUAUGUCAUGUAGCGGUGAAAUGCUUAGAUAUGACAUAGAACACCAAUUGCGAAGGCAGCUCACUACGGGAUCAUUGACACUGAGGCACGAAAGCGUGGGGAUCAAACAGG
rnacentral:rRNA from 1 species